rnacentral:lncRNA from 1 species
UUUCCCUACCCACCAUUGCCCCCAAAUCCCUCAAGGAUACCCUCAAAGAUACCAUCAUCCAUCCCUGACUAUGUAAGAUAAGUAUGUAAGACAUAUUGUAGUCAGAGAUUUGAAUCCAGCAAGAAAUGAAGAGUUACAAUCAGAGAUUUGAAUCCAGCAAGAAAUGAAGUGUAGAAAUAUAAGACAUAUUGUAGACAUAUUGUAGUCAGACAGCUUGAAGUAACUGUUAAGUAUCUGGAACUAAACAAAAUAGCAAGAGUUACAGUGAUCAGGAAAGGUAACUGAUGAU